UACGAAGGGGGCUAGCGUUGCUCGGAAUGACUGGGCGUAAAGGGCGCGUAGGCGGUUCGUUGCGUCAGAUGUGAAAGCCCCCGGGCUCAACCUGGGAACUGCAUUUGAUACGGGCGGGCUUGAAUCCAAGAGAGGGUGGUGGAAUUCCCAGUGUAGAGGUGAAAUUCGUAGAUAUUGGGAAGAACACCAGUGGCGAAGGCGGCCACCUGGCUUGGUAUUGACGCUGAGGCGGCGAAAGC
rnacentral:rRNA from 1 species